GGGUUGUGAGGUUAAGCGACUAAGCGUACACGGUGGAUGCCCUGGCAGUCAGAGGCGAUGAAGGACGUGCUAAUCUGCGAUAAGCGUCGGUAAGGUGAUAUGAACCGUUAUAACCGGCGAUUUCCGAAUGGGGAAACCCAGUGUGUUUCGACACACUAUCAUUAACUGAAUCCAUAGGUUAAUGAGGCGAACCGGGGGAACUGAAACAUCUAAGUACCCCGAGGAAAAGAAAUCAACCGAGAUUCCCCCAGUAGCGGCGAGCGAACGGGGAGCAGCCCAGAGCCUGAAUCAGUGUGUGUGUUAGUGGAAGCGUCUGGAAAGGCGUGCGAUACAGGGUGACAGCCCCGUACACAAAAAUGCACAUGCUGUGAGCUCGAUGAGUAGGGCGGGACACGUGGUAUCCUGUCUGAAUAUGGGGGGACCAUCCUCCAAGGCUAAAUACUCCUGACUGACCGAUAGUGAACCAGUACCGUGAGGGAAAGGCGAAAAGAACCCCGGCGAGGGGAGUGAAAAAGAACCUGAAACCGUGUACGUACAAGCAGUGGGAGCACGCUUAGGCGUGUGACUGCGUACCUUUUGUAUAAUGGGUCAGCGACUUAUAUUCUGUAGCAAGGUUAACCGAAUAGGGGAGCCGAAGGGAAACCGAGUCUUAACUGGGCGUUAAGUUGCAGGGUAUAGACCCGAAACCCGGUGAUCUAGCCAUGGGCAGGUUGAAGGUUGGGUAACACUAACUGGAGGACCGAACCGACUAAUGUUGAAAAAUUAGCGGAUGACUUGUGGCUGGGGGUGAAAGGCCAAUCAAACCGGGAGAUAGCUGGUUCUCCCCGAAAGCUAUUUAGGUAGCGCCUCGUGAAUUCAUCUCCGGGGGUAGAGCACUGUUUCGGCAAGGGGGUCAUCCCGACUUACCAACCCGAUGCAAACUGCGAAUACCGGAGAAUGUUAUCACGGGAGACACACGGCGGGUGCUAACGUCCGUCGUGAAGAGGGAAACAACCCAGACCGCCAGCUAAGGUCCCAAAGUCAUGGUUAAGUGGGAAACGAUGUGGGAAGGCCCAGACAGCCAGGAUGUUGGCUUAGAAGCAGCCAUCAUUUAAAGAAAGCGUAAUAGCUCACUGGUCGAGUCGGCCUGCGCGGAAGAUGUAACGGGGCUAAACCAUGCACCGAAGCUGCGGCAGCGACACUAUGUGUUGUUGGGUAGGGGAGCGUUCUGUAAGCCUGUGAAGGUGUACUGUGAGGUAUGCUGGAGGUAUCAGAAGUGCGAAUGCUGACAUAAGUAACGAUAAAGCGGGUGAAAAGCCCGCUCGCCGGAAGACCAAGGGUUCCUGUCCAACGUUAAUCGGGGCAGGGUGAGUCGACCCCUAAGGCGAGGCCGAAAGGCGUAGUCGAUGGGAAACAGGUUAAUAUUCCUGUACUUGGUGUUACUGCGAAGGGGGGACGGAGAAGGCUAUGUUGGCCGGGCGACGGUUGUCCCGGUUUAAGCGUGUAGGCUGGUUUUCCAGGCAAAUCCGGAAAACUAAGGCUGAGGCGUGAUGACGAGGCACUACGGUGCUGAAGCAACAAAUGCCCUGCUUCCAGGAAAAGCCUCUAAGCAUCAGGUAACAUCAAAUCGUACCCCAAACCGACACAGGUGGUCAGGUAGAGAAUACCAAGGCGCUUGAGAGAACUCGGGUGAAGGAACUAGGCAAAAUGGUGCCGUAACUUCGGGAGAAGGCACGCUGAUAUGUAGGUGAAGUCCCUCGCGGAUGGAGCUGAAAUCAGUCGAAGAUACCAGCUGGCUGCAACUGUUUAUUAAAAACACAGCACUGUGCAAACACGAAAGUGGACGUAUACGGUGUGACGCCUGCCCGGUGCCGGAAGGUUAAUUGAUGGGGUUAGCGCAAGCGAAGCUCUUGAUCGAAGCCCCGGUAAACGGCGGCCGUAACUAUAACGGUCCUAAGGUAGCGAAAUUCCUUGUCGGGUAAGUUCCGACCUGCACGAAUGGCGUAAUGAUGGCCAGGCUGUCUCCACCCGAGACUCAGUGAAAUUGAACUCGCUGUGAAGAUGCAGUGUACCCGCGGCAAGACGGAAAGACCCCGUGAACCUUUACUAUAGCUUGACACUGAACAUUGAGCCUUGAUGUGUAGGAUAGGUGGGAGGCUUGGAAGUGUGGACGCCAGUCUGCAUGGAGCCGACCUUGAAAUACCACCCUUUAAUGUUUGAUGUUCUAACGUUGACCCGUAAUCCGGGUUGCGGACAGUGUCUGGUGGGUAGUUUGACUGGGGCGGUCUCCUCCUAAAGAGUAACGGAGGAGCACGAAGGUUGGCUAAUCCUGGUCGGACAUCAGGAGGUUAGUGCAAUGGCAUAAGCCAGCUUGACUGCGAGCGUGACGGCGCGAGCAGGUGCGAAAGCAGGUCAUAGUGAUCCGGUGGUUCUGAAUGGAAGGGCCAUCGCUCAACGGAUAAAAGGUACUCCGGGGAUAACAGGCUGAUACCGCCCAAGAGUUCAUAUCGACGGCGGUGUUUGGCACCUCGAUGUCGGCUCAUCACAUCCUGGGGCUGAAGUAGGUCCCAAGGGUAUGGCUGUUCGCCAUUUAAAGUGGUACGCGAGCUGGGUUUAGAACGUCGUGAGACAGUUCGGUCCCUAUCUGCCGUGGGCGCUGGAGAACUGAGGGGGGCUGCUCCUAGUACGAGAGGACCGGAGUGGACGCAUCACUGGUGUUCGGGUUGUCAUGCCAAUGGCACUGCCCGGUAGCUAAAUGCGGAAGAGAUAAGUGCUGAAAGCAUCUAAGCACGAAACUUGCCCCGAGAUGAGUUCUCCCUGACUCCUUGAGAGUCCUGAAGGAACGUUGAAGACGACGACGUUGAUAGGCCGGGUGUGUAAGCGCAGCGAUGCGUUGAGCUAACCGGUACUAAUGAACCGUGAGGCUUAACCUUACAACGCCGAAGGUGUUU
rnacentral:rRNA from 1 species